GUUCAUGUACCAGGUGUCUAUGUGUCGAGUAUAGUCUAUCCGUGUGAAAGCCACUUCGUCAGAAAGGUAAAAUUUUAUAUUUAGUGCAGAUUCAUGUCUAAAUCUUGCUUUUUUGUAAAACACUUGAAAAACUGAGACGAAGUAGAAGCCCAGAAAAGUAUAGGCUGGGAAUAAUUUGAAAUUAUUUUACCGCCGGGAAGCUUUGUGCCAGUUGAUUAUCCUAGGCCAAGUGGUUAUACUCCGCAGAUGGAAGCCAAAUAUAACAGGUGACACCGAAGAAGUGUCAUAAGGGGCCGUGCCACCCGCGGGGUUCCAGCGUCGAACGCCCCGCUGCGAGUUGUCGCCAUUGUAUGGUAAUGGCUGGCCACCCCCUGAAACCCCAGUCAUCAACACCAUCGCCGACAAUGGCUCUUCCUCCUGCCCUUUUCUCUCGACAGCCGACUCCACCACCGCCACCACCACCGCCAUCAAGCUUUGGAUCACGUAAAGAAGCCGUCAGGCUGUCACUUCUUCCGACACACUCCCAAGGGGAACAAUUUUCCCCGAAAAACGUGAUGUAUACCCCGAGACGCCCGCCGACGUCGCUACUGCCGUCGUCAGCGCCUCUUCAUUCUCUCCCCUCACACCCCCUCAUACCCUCUCACACCAUCCCUUCACGGCCCCUCCUCCCAUCCUACAAGGAGAGAGAAAGAGAAAGAUAGAUUAAAUUGCUGACUGUAUAAAAAAAAAUACUGAAGGGUAUGCGUGACAUUAAGUUCAAAGGAUCUUACUUAGGAUUAUGACUUUGAAGCACAUUUUAAGCUAUUGUGACAACUCAAAAAAAAAUAUAUAUAUCAACAACAACAGCAAGGCCCAAUUUUUAUUUCUGUUCAAAUACUUAAAGAGCUUUGACCGUUAUCAUGUUUAUUUUAGUUUAUUCGGGAUGGAUUAAAUCUCACGGAGAAGGAUAUUUGAAUCUUUUCUUCUUUAAGGAAGUUGGCUACCAGCACCUGCUGCACUGAUUGUUGCUACAUCAUUUUGCUAGGAAUGAGUUUUGGGAACAUCAGAUCCCCGAGAAUUGCGAAAGAUCGGCCUGAAAUAGAAUUUAAAUUUCACCGUAAAUUGAUCCCUACCGGCCAGCUACCUAACCAUUUGAAAUUUGUGAACGCUCGCUGGUUGUCUUGUUCCCUGUUUUUAUUCUGUUUUUCGAACAUAUAUAGGGUGGGCCAAAAGUAGCCUCACAGUUAAAACAGAAUAAAAAAUAAUUUAUUAAACGCAUAAAAUUUUUCAGACAUGAAUAAGUGGUAUAUUUAAG